rnacentral:lncRNA from 1 species
AAUUUGUGAGUGAUAAACUAUAGCACAGUUUUAGAAAUAAUAACUUUGUUAUAUUUAAAUAAGUAAGAAAUAAUGUUAAAAUAUCCACAAGGACCAGGAAAUUAUAAAGGAUUUAAACUAUAGCUAAAUAUAAUCCCUAGAAAUAAAAAUACUAUGUACAAAAUAUUCAACAGAUUAAAACAGAAUUCAGAAGAAAUAGGUAGUAAAAUAUUUUUAUUAGAUAUAUUCUUUAUUUACAUUUCAAAUGUUAUGCCCUUUCCUGGUCUCCCUCCGAAAGCCCCCUUCCCUUAUCCCCUUCCCCCUCCCCCUGCUCCCCAACCCACCCACUCACACUUCCUGGCCCUGGCAUUCCCCUACACUGGGGCAUAGAACCUUCACAGGAUCAAGGGCCUCUCCUCCAAUUGAUGUCGGACAAGGCCAUCCUCUGCUACAUAUGCAUCUAGAGCCUUGAGUCCCACCAUGUGUUUUCUUUGAUUGGUGGUUUAGUCCCAGGGAGCUCUGGGAGUACUGGUUAGUCCAUAUUGUUUUUCCUCCUAUGGGGCUGCAAACCCCUUCAGCUCCUUGGGACAACCUACUUUUUAAUAAGGGUUCAGUCUCUCCUCUUGCCCACCGUCCAGCAGAGGUAGUGGAAGAGAAAAGUUAUUAGGAUAUGGGGGAAUUGGACCUGUUCAACAAUAGUUCUUUGGGGGUGAGCUGGAUCUUCUUGGGCAGUAAUUCAGUCUCAUAGCAAACAACGAAGUAACACUUAGCAGCUGCAGACCAGUCCUCUAGGCAGGCAGACGCCAGGCUGCUGUAGUUUAAUCCUGAAGAAACCGCCAGGCUUGCCAACCGGCUUGAGGCAAGACCAUGGAAGUAGUAACUGCCACAGGAACCUCACGAGCAGUACCUAAGUGAGUUCCUCUCAAUGUCGGAGUUAUCACAAGUUGAGCUCAAUAAUACCAUGUAAGGUGAACCAAUAGAUGCGUGUCUUUAGUGAAAAGAAGCGAGGUGGAGGAAACCAAAUCAAUGCUCAGUGCUUGUCUCCCACUGUCUGUGGGGUCAUAUUUAUACUCCUCCAUCCUGGGUCCUUGCAUGUGUUUGCUAUAACCAACAUUCUUUCACCUGUGUCUGCUUCAGGAAAACAGUCUUUCAUGUGUUUGCUUUAACAAGACAUCUUUUCACCUGUGUGCCCCAGCUAAACAUCAUUUAACAUUAACUUUCCAAAGAACUAGAAGUUUCCACUUCAAUAACCAUUUUGUGAUAUGGAAUCCACAAAACCACAUGUAAAGCAAGGGGCCCAAUAGUGUAACGACCACAAACAUAGAUCUCUAUCAAAAUAUUAACAUAUAGAAUUUGGUAGUAUAUUAAAAUUCUCCAACAUAGGUCAAUGUUAAUACGGUAAUACAUACUUGAUUUCUCAUAAGAGGAAAUAAAUCAAUAUACUUCAUAUUAAAAUUUUAAGGGGAAAAUAUAAAUUUAUUGAAGCAGAUAUUAAAAAGCACUUGACAAAAUUCUACAUGUGUGGUAGAAUUCUAAUUGUGGUGAAGAUAAAAAUAACUAUACUUACUGUUGUUCCCAAAACAACAAUAACAAAAGUUCUUGGACAAAAAGGUUUAUUUAAAGAUAUUUUUUGUCAAUUAAGAAACACGAGUGACACCUAGGAAAUGAAAAACAUGAAACUUAUUGCCUAUGUAUGAGAAUAUUCAACCUAUGUUGUUUUCAAAAGAGGGGAAGUUGGCAGAAAACCUGUAAAGUCAGUAAGUUGAUAGAAUGGAACUGAGAGUGUCCAAGGAAUCAGGACAUCUGGAUUGCAGAAGAGCAGAGGUAGCUGCAUAGAAGUGAACUCUGACUAUUUGCACACCUUUCCCCACUGGUUAGGGAAAACUAAUUAUACAUACUUCUCAAGAUAAGGGAAGGGACAUUUUUUGAAGGCAUACAAAAGGAAAAGAGGAAUAGGAAAAGGAAAAUAAACAAAUUCUCCCGG